AUUUAUAUAAUUCAAAGAGAAUAUUGCGCUGAAGUUGCAAAAGUAGACGAAUAGUCUUGUAAGUA
rnacentral:tRNA from 2 species